UCUCGAACAGAUUCGCCGUAAAAACUUCCAGGAGAAGUCGUUCAUCUUUUGCAGUUUCUCGAUUACUUCUGAUAAUGGCGUUGAAUACAGGACCCAUUUCUGUCUCAAGGAUCAUAGCUUCUUCCGAAUCAUCUGUCUCCAGUCCUACUUCCUGUACACCUAAAACUGAUGGAAGCUCUAAAAGGAAAAGGUGUGAGGAUGAUUCACAAUCAUCAAGCUCUUAUGCAGAGGAAACAAUGUCUGGCGAAGAUGAUCAAGCUACCAACAGGAAAGGAGCUCUGUCUGUGUUACAGACAAUUCGGUUGAUUAAAGAGACGGACUUGGCUAUGAAAAAAAACUGUCGAAGAUGAAUAUACUUGCCAGUCUCAUUUCCAAAAAAAAACCACUAUCUGACUAUGAAGAAGCUCUAAAGACGAAGCUUAUCACAGACAUGUUGGCUAAUUGGUGAUCUCAUCUCUGUUAUUUGAAUCUUUGAAGUUGUGUUUUAGGUGUCCUGUUUGUGUUUCAGCUUAAGUUGUUGUUUGUUUUAUUUUAAUUGUUUGUGAUUUAGCUUUGUAUGUUUCAUGUUAUGUUUUAAUUUAAUGAAACGGAUUGGUCUGUAUAAACAUGCCCGAUGAAAAAAACCAGACAUCUUUGGGA